CGGGUGAGUAACGCGUGGGUAACCUGCCCUUUUGUGGGGAACAACUUCGAGAAAUCGGAGCUAAUACCGCAUAAUAAUAGAGGAUCGCAUGAUUCUUUAAGGAAAGAUGGCCUCUGAAGAUGCUAUCGCAAAAGGAUGGACCCGCGUCUGAUUAGCUAGUUGGAAGGGUAACGGCCUACCAAGGCAACGAUCAGUAGCCGGCCUGAGAGGGUGAACGGCCACAUUGGGACUGAGACACGGCCCAAACUCCUACGGGAGGCAGCAG
rnacentral:rRNA from 1 species